rnacentral:rRNA from 1 species
UCGCUGUGAAGAUGCAGUGUACCCGCGGCAAGACGGAAAGACCCCGUGAACCUUUACUAUAGCUUGACACUGAACAUUGAGCCUUGAUGUGUAGGAUAGGUGGGAGGCUUGGAAGUGUGGACGCCAGUCUGCAUGGAGCCGACCUUGAAAUACCACCCUUUAAUGUUUGAUGUUCUAACGUGGACCCGUAAUCCGGGUUGCGGACAGUGUCUGGUGGGUAGUUUGACUGGGGCGGUCUCCUCCUAAAGAGUAACGGAGGAGCACGAAGGUUGGCUAAUCCUGGUCGGACAUCA